rnacentral:rRNA from 1 species
CAGCAGCCACGGUAAUACAGAGGGUGCGAGCGUUAAUCGGAUUUACUGGGCGUAAAGCGUGCGUAGGCGGCUAAUUGAGUCGGAUGUGAAAUCCCCGAGCUUAACUUGGGAAUUGCAUUCGAUACUGGUUAGCUAGAGUAUGGGAGAGGAUGGUAGAAUUCCAGGUGUAGCGGUGAAAUGCGUAGAGAUCUGGAGGAAUACCGAUGGCGAAGGCAGCCAUCUGGCCUAAUACUGACGCUGAGGUACGAAAGCAUGGGGAGCAAACAGGAUUAGAUACCCCGGUAGUCCCUGUCUCUUAUAC